rnacentral:rRNA from 1 species
AUUGAACGCUGGCGGCAGGCCUAACACAUGCAAGUCGAGCGGAUGAGAGGAGCUUGCUUCUCGAUUCAGCGGCGGACGGGUGAGUAAUGCCUAGGAAUCUGCCUGGUAGUGGGGGACAACGUUUCGAAAGGAACGCUAAUACCGCAUACGUCCUACGGGAGAAAGCAGGGGACCUUCGGGCCUUGCGCUAUCAGAUGAGCCUAGGUCGGAUUAGCUAGUUGGUGAGGUAAUGGCUCACCAAGGCGACGAUCCGUAACUGGUCUGAGAGGAUGAUCAGUCACACUGGAACUGAGACACGGUCCAGACUCCUACGGGAGGCAGCAGUGGGGAAUAUUGGACAAUGGGCGAAAGCCUGAUCCAGCCAUGCCGCGUGUGUGAAGAAGGUCUUCGGAUUGUAAAGCACUUUAAGUUGGGAGGAAGGGUUGUAGAUUAAUACUCUGCAAUUUUGACGUUACCGACAGAAUAAGCACCGGCUAACUCUGUGCCAGCCGCCGCAGUAA